rnacentral:rRNA from 8 species
GACCUGAGAGGGUGAUCGGCCACACUGGGACUGAGACACGGCCCAGACUCCUACGGGAGGCAGCAGUAGGGAAUCUUCCGCAAUGGACGAAAGUCUGACGGAGCAACGCCGCGUGAGUGAUGAAGGUUUUCGGAUCGUAAAGCUCUGUUGUUAGGGAAGAACAAGUGCAAGAGUAACUGCUUGCACCUUGACGGUACCUAACCAGAAAGCCACGGCUAACUACGUGCCAGCAGCCGCGGUAAUACGUAGGUGGCAAGCGUUGUCCGGAAUUAUUGGGCGUAAAGGGCUCGCAGGCGGUUUCUUAAGUCUGAUGUGAAAGCCCCCGGCUCAACCGGGGAGGGUCAUUGGAAACUG